GUGCUCGCUUCAGCAGCACAUAUACUAAAAUUGGAACGAUACAGAGAAGAUUAGCAUGGCCCCUGUGCAAGGAUGACAUGCAAAUUCAUGAAGCGUUCCAUAUUUUU
ensembl:snRNA U6 U6 spliceosomal RNA